rnacentral:rRNA from 1 species
AUUGAACGCUGGCGGCAGGCUUAACACAUGCAAGUCGAGCGGGGUGAUGGUGCUUGCACUAUCACUUAGCGGCGGACGGGUGAGUAAUGCUUAGGAAUCUGCCUAUUAGUGGGGACAACAUCUCGAAAGGGAUGCUAAUACCGCAUACGUCCUACGGGAGAAAGCAGGGGAUCACUUGUGACCUUGCGCUAAUAGCUGAGCCUAAGUCGGAUUAGCUAGUUGGUGGGGUAAAGGCCUACCAAGGCGACGAUCUGUAGCGGGUCUGAGAGGAUGAUCCGCCACACUGGGACUGAGACACGGCCCAGACUCCUACGGGAGGCAGCAGUGGGGAAUAUUGGACAAUGGGGGGAACCCUGAUCCAGCCAUGCCGCGUGUGUGAAGAAGGCCUUAUGGUUGUAAAGCACCUUAAGCGAGGAGGAGGCUCUUUUGGUUAAUACCCAAGAUGAGUGGACGUUACUCGCAGAAUAAGCACCGGCUAACUCUGUGCCAGCCGCCGCCGUAA